GCCCUUCAGGCCUAACACAUGCAAGUCGAGCGAAGGGAGUACUACGGUACGAACUUAGCGGCGGACGGGUGAGUAACGCGUGGACAAUCUACCCUGUAGACUGGGAUAACACCUCGAAAGGGGUGCUAAUACCGGAUAAUGUCGAGAAGCGGCAUCGCUUUUCGAAGAAAGGAGGGAAUCCGCUAUAGGAGGAGUCCGCGUCCCAUUAGCUAGUUGGUGAGGGUAACGGCCCACCAAGGCGACGAUGGGUAGCCGGCCUGAGAGGGUGAACGGCCACACUGGAACUGAGACACGGUCCAGACUCCUACGGGAGGCAGCAGUGGGGAAUAUUGUGCAAUGGGGGAAACCCUGACACAGCGACGCCGCGUGAGUGAAGAAGGCCUUCGGGUCGUAAAGCUCAAUAGUAUGGGAAGAAAGAAAUGACGGUACCAUACGAAAGCCCCGGCUAACUACGUGCCAGCAGCCGCGGUAAUAAGGGC
rnacentral:rRNA from 1 species